rnacentral:lncRNA from 1 species
AAGCUCUCUCCAUUUUUGUAGCAUGUUAAUUCUGCUUAAAAAAAUUCUACGUGGUUUGAAUGUACGUGCCUAUCUGAACUCUUGCCACUAAUCCCAAACUCUUCCUCUUACAACUGAACGUGGAGUCAUGAACUCUUGCAACUUAUUACAAACUCUUCCACGUACUUUUUUUCAAUUUCAAACUGAAAUCAAAAUCUAAUUAAUUAUCGUCUCUCCUCUUUUCGAAUCCUCCAAUCUCUCAAAGAUCCUCUAUCAUCUGUUAAUCUCUUUAUUCUAAUUCUGAAUCACUCUUGCACAAAUCAAAUAUAAUUCACUACGGUAUCUAUUAAUUGAGGUAAUCUUCUUUUCUAUAUUUUUUGUUGAAUGUAAUUUGUGGAUUUGUUGUUCAGUUAUACUGAUUAUAGGGAUCCCCUGAUUAUAUUCAUUUUUGUGCAUCUUCAUAUUACUAUAUUAGUUGUUAAUAAAUUUAUCAUAAUUUUGAAUAAAACCUAAUUUAGCCUAUAUUAGUUGUUCAAUUACUGAUUAUAUUCAUUGUUUUGUACAUCUUUUUAUUAGUUGCUAAUUUAACCUAAUUGUGAAUCAAAAUUCCAAAGUAUUGAGAAACAAUUAUCAUUGUAGUUGUAUUAUCACUCAAAAUUUGAGACUACUGUAUUCUGUAAGGUAACUCUUCCUGAAACCACCAUAGUUUUUUUUUUUUUUUUUUUUAAUGUAUCAUAGUUGUUUAUUAGAACUUUAGUAGGACUAUCAGCCACUAUAUGCUUAAAUUCCAACCUCUCAAUUCUUUUGAAAUUUUGUAG